rnacentral:rRNA from 1 species
UACAGAGGGGGCAAGCGUUGUUCGGAAUUACUGGGCGUAAAGGGCGCGUAGGCGGCCUUCUAAGUCGAACGUGAAAUCCCCGGGCUCAACCCGGGAACUGCGUCCGAUACUGGAAGGCUUGAAUCCGGGAGAGGGAUGCGGAAUUCCAGGUGUAGCGGUGAAAUGCGUAGAUAUCUGGAGGAACACCGGUGGCGAAGGCGGCAUCCUGGACCGGCAUUGACGCUGAGGCGCGAAGGCCAGGGAGCAAACGGG